GAUUUUUUUCUCAUGAUUCAUGAAAGGUACAAAUUUUUGAGUGGAGAAGAAAGCAAUGAAUCAACUAUCAGAAGAAAAUUCAAUGGUAGGAAUAGCAUUAUUUGAAUGCAGUGUUUAAAGGAAUUUUUAUUGUGGGUUUUAAUUUUUUUUAUUUUGCUCAUUUUGGUUAUUGUGAUUUUCAAGAAUUUGUUUUGGGUAUUUUUUUUGUG
rnacentral:misc_RNA from 1 species